GGUAUAUCACUCAGACCAUAUCUGCAUUCUCUGGUUGAUUUCUCAAAUAAGCACGGCCUCUGCAGUGGCCCAGCCUUGCAUGGGAAAUACCCUUUGUGCCUUGAAAUGGGGAAGACUAGAAACGUUGUUUGACAGAGAAGCCACAUAACAGAAGUUGUAUGAAGUUUGAAUAUUCGAUAACGAAGUCAGCAUGGAUGCAGUCACUGAGUUCCCAAAGGGGAGGGACAGACCAUCUAUAUAAGUAGUUAAAACGUGCAAGAGGCUGCGUUGGAGAUUGGGAAACAUGUGACUCAUUAUUGGCGCUGAAUCAGAUCCAUCCCUGAUGCGGCCCGGCUGGAGCUCCAUGGGGAUUACACCAGGAAUUCAUCUGAUCUGAUGUAUCCAGCGUGUGGAAAUGGACAAAAGUGCGGGAUUAACAGUUUAGCAUGGCUCCCAUUCCAGUGAAUGCACUUGCUGGAUGCUUUUGAGGCAAUGACUUAUCCAGGUUGCCCAUACCUGGAUGUUAAUAUGUGUUAUAAUAUGUUAAUA
rnacentral:lncRNA from 1 species